UGGGCAACCUGCCCCAGACUCUGGGAUAACUCCGGGAAACCGGGGCUAAUACCGGAUACUCCGAUCGGACGACAUCGUCUGACCGGGAAAGCUCCGACGGUCUGGGAUGGGCCCGCGGCCUAUCAGCUUGUUGGCGAGGUAACGGCUCACCAAGGCGACGACGGGUAGCUGGUCUGAGAGGGCGAUCGGCCACACUGGGACUGAGACACGGCCCAGACUCCUACGGGAG
rnacentral:rRNA from 1 species